rnacentral:rRNA from 1 species
UACGUAGGGAGCUAGCGUUGUCCGGAAUCAUUGGGCGUAAAGGGUGCGUAGGCGGUUUGGUAAGUCUCUUGUGAAAUCUAUGGGCUCAACUCAUAGUCUGCAAGGGAAACUGCCGGGCUUGAGUGUGGGAGAGGUGAGUGGAACUGCGAGUGUAGAGGUGAAAUUCGUAGAUAUUCGCAAGAACACCAGUGGCGAAGGCGACUCACUGGCCCGUUACUGACGCUGAGGCGCGAAAGCGUGGGGAGCAAACAGG